UUGGCUCCUGGUGGCUUUGCCGCGAACGGGUGAGUAAUAUAUCGGAACGUGUCCAAUAAUGNCCNGAUAACUAUCCGAAAGGAUAGCUAAUACCGCAUACGCCCUGAGGGGGAAAGUGGGGGAUCUUCGGACCUCACGUUAAUGGAGCGGCCGAUAUCUGAUUAGCUAGUUGGUGGGGUAAAGGCCCACCGAGGCGACGAUCAGUAGCUGGUCUGAGAGGACGACCAGCCACACUGGGACUGAUACACGGCCCAGACUCCUACGGGAGGCAGCAGUGGGGAAUUUUGGACAAUGGGGGCAACCCUGAUCCAGCCAUGCCGCGUGAGUGAAGAANGCCUUCGGGGUUGUAAAGCUCUUUCGCAAGGGAAAGANACGAUGCANACGAAUAAUCUGCGUUUAUGACGGUACCUUGAUAAGAAGCACCGGCUAACUACGUGCCAGCAGCCGCGGUAAUACNAAAGGUGCAAGCGUUACUCGGAA
rnacentral:rRNA from 1 species